rnacentral:rRNA from 1 species
UACGAAGGGGGCUAGCGUUGCUCGGAAUUACUGGGCGUAAAGGGCGCGUAGGCGGUUUGGACAGUCAGAUGUGAAAUUCCUGGGCUCAACCUGGGGGCUGCAUUUGAUACGUGCGGACUUGAGUGAGGAAGAGGGUCGUGGAAUUCCCAGUGUAGAGGUGAAAUUCGUAGAUAUUGGGAAGAACACCGGUGGCGAAGGCGGCGACCUGGUCCUUGACUGACGCUGAGGCGCGAAAGCGUGGGGAGCAAACAGG